GAGCCCCCAUGAUAUUUGGCACUAUAUGUAACGAUAAGGACCCUAUAGCAAAUAAUAGAAAAGCUGGCAUUUACUCAAUACCAGUUUAUAAUGAAAAUGACGAUAAUGUAUGUUAUUACAUUGGCAGCACUAAAAGAAAACCUGAACGUAAGACUAAAAGAACAUGCAGCUAAUAUACAGGCAGAGAGAUUGGAUACCACUCUAGCCACUUUAGCCUACGAACAAAAUGUAAUAAUUAAAUGGGAUGAAGCUGCUAUAAUUAAACCAAUACAAUACAAUACAGGCAUAACUAUACUAGAGGCUAUUGAGAUACAAAAGAGAAAAGAUAUGCGUGGCAGAUUGUCAACGAUAACAAUCCCUUUGCACUGCCACCAGCAU
rnacentral:lncRNA from 1 species